GGGGAUGUAGCUCAGGUGGUAGAGUGCUUGCCUAGCAAGCAUGGAGCACUGUGCUUCAUUCCCA
rnacentral:tRNA from 1 species